GGAGAGAUGCCAGAGCGGUCGAAUGGGACGGUCUUGAAAACCGUUAGGCCUUCACGGGUCUCUAGGGUUCGAAUCCCUAUCUCUCCGCCA
rnacentral:tRNA from 1 species